AAAAUACAACUUCCCAUAUAGCCGUUAUAGGAGCGUGAGAGAAAACUCGGUGUUUUCUGGGAAGCUAUCUGUGAUGGACGACACAGUGUUGAUCCUGUUCCUACCGGCAUUCUGGUGCUGGGAAUAAUUGGGGGAAAGGUCAUUAUACUGAAGGCGCUGAGUUGAUUGAUGUUUUUCUUGAUGUUGUUCAUGAAGAGGCGGAGAAUUGAUGCAAGAUGCUGACUACAAAGGGUGUGGAAGAGGCCGUUGAAGCUGGGAAACAUGCAUGACUCAGCAUCGCUGCGAGAAGGUUCUUGUUGUUGUCUGUCACACCAAUGAUUUUGUGUCAUAUCUAUCAGCAUGGGUUGCCGUGUCUUCCAGUCUCUCCUCGUCUAUCACCAAACCAAACAAGCAGCUGAUAUAACAACCCACUCUACUUCAUCCUGCCAAGUACCAUUUGUUCUCUGUAUGUUCACCCAUGGUAUCAUCUUACGCCAUAGGCUUUGUGUCACAGUGCGUUUGAAGAAUAAGUGGUCUCUUGUUUUAUCAGCAGAUUGGCAGAAUACACAUGUAGGAAGAACAUUUAUGCCGAACUUCUGUAAUCUGUCAUCUGUAGCAAGCCUUAUUUAGUAGAGCCCACCAUAGAGAGAAUUUAUGUUGUGGAUGGAUACUAGGAUGCCCUGUUAGUCACUUCUAAGGUACUACUUAGGUUACAUCAUUUUUAUCAAGAACUUGUUAACUGUAAUCUGUUUCUCAGAUCACCUAGGAUUGUAGGAGGAGCAUCAUAGGUGCAGGCCCAAGAAGUCAUAUUGCAAAUAAAAUGGCUAAUAUGAUUCCUUGAACCUCAAACAACCAUUAUGCCUUUCUGAGUAACAAACAAAAGUAGAUCGGGAAGCAGCAAAAACCUUCAACCUUAUGGUUUUAUGAAGUUCUUUCAUCAACGGCAAAGACAACGGCAAAGUCUUUGCUGCCUGAGAAACUAUCCAAACCCCAUUUUAAAUAUGCCUCAAUUUUUACUGUUCAUAUGCAAAAGCUGCAAUCUUUUUCACUCUAGGGUGCAAAGUGGAAGCUUUAAUAUAAGGUUCACUGUAGAUUUAUUCUUAUGUUAUUAGAUAUAAAACAUAUUUUUUUCUUUUU